rnacentral:rRNA from 1 species
GGAUUAGAUACCCUGGUAGUCCAUGCUGUAAACGAUGAAUGCUUGUUGUUGGUCUUUUGAUCAGUGACGAAGUUAACGCAUUAAGCAUUCCGCCUGGGGAGUACGGUCGCAAGAUUAAAACUCAAAGGAAUUGACGGGGACCCGCACAAGCGGUGGAGCAUGUGGUUUAAUUCGAUGCAACGCGAAGAACCUUACCGACUCUUGACAUCCUUAUCGGGGGGCACAGAGAUGAGCCCUUUCAGUUAGGCUGGACAAGUGACAGAUGCUGCAUGGCUGUCGUCAGCUCGUGCCG